rnacentral:tRNA from 1 species
GGGGAUAUAGCUCAGUUGGUAGAUUGUAUUCCUAGCAUGCACAAGGCCCUGGGUUUAAUCCCCAGCAUUACCA